rnacentral:rRNA from 1 species
UACGGAAGGCGCUAGCGGUGUUCGGAAUUACUGGGCGUAAAGAGCGCGUAGGCGGCUUACCAAGUUGGGGGUGAAAUCCCGGAGCUCAACUCCGGAACUGCCUUCAAAACUGGUAGGCUCGGGUCCGGAAGAGGGGCGUGGAAUUCCCAGUGUAGAGGUGAAAUUCGUAGAUAUUGGGAAGAACACCGGUGGCGAGGGCGGCGCCCUGGUCCGGUACUGACGCUGAGGCGCGAAAGCGUGGGGAGCAAACAGG